rnacentral:rRNA from 1 species
UAAAAAUGUAAGUUGGUAAAUUAAAUGAUUAAUAGUUAUGUUCUUUAAAGUUAAAUAAUUUGGCGGUAUUUUAGUCUAUUCAGAGGAAUUUGCUCUAUAAUUGAUAAUCCACGAUUAAUUGAACUUAAAUCAGAAAUUUAUAUAUCGUCGUUAUUAAAUAUUUUUAUAGAAAUUAAUAUUUAAAAUUUUUAUUAAAAAAAUAAUUCAGAUCAAGGUGUAGUUUAUAUUUAAGAAGAAGUGAAUUACAAUUUUAAAAUUAUUGGAUUUUAAAAUGAAAUUUUUAAUUGAAAAUGGAUUUGAAAGUAAUUAAAUUUAUUUAUUUUUAAUGAUUUAGCUCUAAAAUAUGU